AGAGGCAAAAGGAUGUUCUCCUGCAGUGUUUUGCAAGUUAGGUUUCCUUUUCCUGUACAACACCCAUAACCUUUAUCAGACUGGUUGGUACUCAGCUGGACACACCUAUUGGCCUCAUGAACACUCAUGGAAAGACAUGUAGCUUGAGAAGAAGCACUGCCAAGCACUCUCAUGCUUUCCAGAGUGUUUGCAAAAGCUGUAAAAAUGUCACUGCAAAAACUGUGUGUAUGCUUAUAGAUGUAUGUACGUAGCUAUAUAUUCAUUAUAGAGUGUGACUGAUCACAGCUGUAAAUCACUUACCUACCCUGUACGUAGGAAGGGCAGGUCCAUUUCACAGAUAACCACUGCAGUCACAGAUAAGGUAACGCAAAAUCUCUGCAGAAGUCUGGGGCAGGGAAGAGACAUGGGCCAGGUUUUCCCUGGUAGGGACUUGCUGCUCUCAUCUCCAAAACAGCCUAGAAAACAUUAGGCACAGAAAGGUAAGAAAAGCUGUGUGAGUUUAAGGUGAAUUAUGUGCACUAACUUCUUCACUUUUUUUUUUUUCUUUUUGGAGAAGAUAUCUAAUUUUUGAGACAAUCAGUGAGAUAUAAUCCUUCUAGCCUUCUGAAUCAAUGGAAGCAUCUGAUUCCAGAGUACAGACAUCAUUUUUUUCUUCAGAAUGAAAAGAUGAAGCUGGAACAAGAGCUCUAGAGUGAAGAAGAAUUGUGUGUACUGUGCCAGGGAGAUUACGGCAACACCACAGGCAUGAAAAUAUAAAAGCCACCGUGACUUGAAAAAUAUUUCAAUGAGGAGUUACCAAGACCGGAAUUUCUUGUAAAAACAGUCAAUUACUACAAAUGGACAUUUCCAAGAAUAAAUACUUUGUUGAAGUAUUCUUGACCAGCUUUACUAAGAUUCUGAGAUGCUAUACUGGUAACUCCUUCUCAUCUCUGCUACAAGUGAGGUUGGACCUCACUUUCUUCACAUAAAAAAAAAGGGCAAUUGAACAAGAGUAUGAUGAGAUGUAUUAAACCAUGUAUUAUCUGAAUAUAGCAUGUGGGGUAAAUUCAUCAUUAUAUCUCAGAAAGCCAGAACUAGAAAGCAACCAAUGGCAGACCAAGGUUUGCACGAAGAGAAACUGCAUCUUUGAUCAAAACAACAUGAAUAGUUGGUAAAAUUGUCAUGUUUAUAUCUAUGGUCUAUCUAUUAUAAAGAUAAUGAACAACUACAUAUAACAGUGAAAUUAGCUGGCAACUAAUUAAAAACAAGCAAGCAAAAAAACCUUGAAAAUAAAAG
rnacentral:lncRNA from 1 species